AUUGAACGCUGGCGGCAGGCUUAACACAUGCAAGUCGAGCGAGCGGCGGACGGGGGAGUAAUGUCUGGGAAACUUCCCGAUGGAGGGGGAUAACUACUGGAAACGGUAGCUAAUACCCCGUACGCUCUGAUGUACCCAGAUGGGGUUAUCUAGUAGGUGGGGUAAUGGCUCACCUAGGCGACGAUACCUAGCUGGGCUGAGAGGAUGAGCAGCCACACUGGAACUGAGACACGGUCCAGACUCCUACGGGAGGCAGCAGUGGGGAAUAUUGCACAAUGGGCGAAAGCCUGAUGCAGCCAUGCCGCGUGUGUGAAGAAGGCCUUCGGGUUGUAAAGCACUUUCAGCGAGGAGGCGUUACCCGCAGAAGAAGCACCGGCUAACUCCGUGCCAGCAGCCGCGGUAAUUC
rnacentral:rRNA from 1 species